GUGCCAGCCGCCGCGGUAAUACGUAGGGAGCGAGCGUUAUCCGGAAUUAUUGGGCGUAAAGGGUGCGUAGACGGCAUAUUAAGUUUCUUGUAAAAAUUCUAGGCUCAACCUAGUCAAGCAAGAGAUACUGAUAAGCUAGAGUAUGGAAGAGGCAAGUGGAACUCCAUGUGUAGCGGUAAAAUGCGUAAAUAUAUGGAAGAACACCAGUGGCGAAGGCGGCUUGCUGGUCCGAUACUGACGUUGAGGCACGAAAGCGUGGGGAGCAAACAGGAUUAGAUACCCUGGUAGUCCACGCCCUAAACGAUGAGUACUAAGUGUUGGAGAAAUUCAGUGCUGAAGUUAACGCAUUAAGUACUCCGCCUGAGUAGUACGUACGCAAGUAUGAAACUUAAAGGAAUUGACGGGAGCCCGCACAAGCGGUGGAGCAUGUUGUUUAAUUCGACGAUACGCGAAGAACCUUACCAGGUCUUGACAUCUACAUGUUACCUAUAGAGAUAUGGGGAGAUUGUGUAAGACAGGUGGUGCAUGGUUGUCGUCAGCUCGUGUCGUGAGAUGUUGGGUUAAGUCCCGCAACGAGCGCAACCCUUAUUGCUAGUUACUAAUAUUAAGUUAAGGACUCUAGCGAGACUGCCAUUGAUAAAAUGGAGGAAGGUGGGGAUGACGUCAAAUCAUCAUGCCCUUUAUGACCUGGGCUACAAACGUGCUACAAUGGCUGAAACAAAGAGAAGCGAAGCCGCGAGGCAGAGCAAACCUCAAAAAAGCAGUCUCAGUUCGGAUUGAAGUCUGCAACUCGACUUCAUGAAGUUGGAAUCGCUAGUAAUCGCGAAUCAGAAUGUCGCGGUGAAUACGUUCCCGGGCUUUGUACACACCGCCCGU
rnacentral:rRNA from 1 species